rnacentral:rRNA from 1 species
GAUGAACGCUGGCGGCGUGCCUAAUACAUGCAAGUCGAGCGAACGGACGAGAAGCUUGCUUCUCUGAUGUUAGCGGCGGACGGGUGAGUAACACGUGGAUAACCUACCUAUAAGACUGGGAUAACUUCGGGAAACCGGAGCUAAUACCGGAUGAUAUUGUGAACCGCAUGGUUCAAAAGUGAAAGACGGUCUUGCUGUCACUUAUAGAUGGAUCCGCGCUGCAUUAGCUAGUUGGUAAGGUAACGGCUUACCAAGGCAACGAUGCAUAGCCGACCUGAGAGGCUGAUCGGCCACACUGGAACUGAGACACGGUCCAUACUCCUACGGGAGGCAGCAGUAGGGAAUCUUCCGCAAUGGGCGAAAGCCUGGCGGAGCAACGCCGAGUGAGUUAUGAAGGUGUUCGGAUCGUAAAACUCUGUUAUUAGGGAAGAACAUAUGUGUAAGUAACUGUGCACAUCUUGACGGUACCUAAUCAGAAAGCCACGGCUAACUACGUG